rnacentral:lncRNA from 1 species
GCCUUUCAAUCGCCUUCCAGUAUCAUCAGUACCACGGACUCCACCUUGCUGCGGCCCCUCAGCAACCCAGUGCACCUGCCACUCGACCAGAGGGAAAGCAGUCAGGAGUGGGAGGCCUCUGAACAAGCUGUAUUUUGUGUAGCCGCCAGCUUCCAUCUUUCUCCAGGCAGAACUCUGGCCCUCAGCACAUCUUUCUGCUUCCCCUCGGUCAGACCACCGAGAACUGCCGCUGUCCUGUCUGACUCCUCCUGUUUUGCACUCACAGGAUAUCUGACUCCAGGCCACAGGAUAUCUGACUCCAGGCCAGGAGGAGUGAGCAGCAGGAUUUACUUGAGGGCCACUUCGCUGGAGCUUCGGUCCUCCAUCAGAUUCAGCUGUGGAGUGUGUUCCUCAGGCACAGAAUGUGGGCGUGGUGGACAAGUGGAGUGUGUCAGAGUAGGAAAGGACAGAAUUGAGGUUAAAUCCCUGAGAUGCAUGAACAUCAGUCUCAAUUUAUAGAAAGAUCUCUUCACUCUUUUGUGGUAGACAGAAUUCCAGUAAAGGCUAUGAAUUGUGAAAUCAGGCCAUUUGUUUAUUUGUUCAUUCAUUUAUUCAUCUUAUUUAUUAGACCAACUUCGCACCCCUCUCUUAUGUCCUAGGCAAUGUCUGGCAGCUUCCCCGCUGAGGAGUUCAGUAUGGUGGGAGGCAUGUGAACACACAUUUUAAUACUGUGUGCUAAGAGCUCUGGUAGGAGAGAGUUUGUAAGAAUAACUAACCCAACUAGCAGCAAGCAACUCAGGCAACAGCUUCCUGCGGGAUGUCAUGCGUGAAUUAGAUACGAGGACCCCAAGGAGCUGAAGAGGUAACAUGGGAGGAUUUUACUGCAGGGUGGACAGCACAGGCAAAGGCAUGGAGGCAUGAAACAGCAUGGCGUGGAAGCACUAGCAGCUUAAUAAAUAGCCUGAUUAGAGGGGGCAGUUUGUGUGUGUGUGUGUGUGUGUGUGUGUGUGUGAGAGAGAGAGAGAGAGAGAGAGAAGAGAGAGAGAGAGAAGAAGACGAGA